GUUGCGCUAUAAAUCCAGCACCAUAUAACAUCCUGUCAAUCUAAAUUUCUGAAGUGUUACAUUAGAAGUCUAUAUGUCGGAGAAGCAAUAGUCGAACGGAAAUUUUCUUUUCAUUAUUUUGUUUUACUUUUCCGUCUUCAGUUAUUCUCCCUUUUCUUGGAACAUGAAUCAGAAAUAGCUAGCAUCUUCAACAUCAACAAUCCAAUGGUUGAUUGAGGAAUUCAAGAUGUGCUAAGGUGAAGAAUAGGAGUGAAAUUUGGAAACUUUUUGGUCUUGUGUAAGGUUUUCAGAGCCUUACUAUUAUGGUCUCAUUUUUGUUUUAGAUAUAAUAUGCUAUCAAUUGGUGUUU